AGGGACCUGUCCUUAGAGAAUAUAAUCCUGCAGAUUUUUCUUCCAUUUGUUUUUGACAAAAAAGUUCUCUGCCAACUUUUAAAAUCUUUCAUCAGUGGAUGGUUUUAUUAUGUGUCAAAUUUCUUCCAUAUCCAUUAUUUUUUUUUGAAAUAAAUGAUGAACUUGAGCAGAGAAAAGAACAAGAGACUAAUGAAGAACUGGAUUGGCAACAAAUACCUGAAGAAGCUUUAAAAAACAGCAAGUAUGAAAAACCUUCAAAUUUUUCAGUCAGGAUUCUUUUACUUCUAGCAUUGGCUUGUUUCAGUAUGACUCUAUGUGGAUUUUGGAUUUUAUUCAUUCCUGUGCUGUUAGGACGUACAUUUCUUUGUGGAAUACUUGGAAAAGCAAACAUCCAUGAUAUAUAUACAAUUUCCUGUGGCUUAUCUAUUAUAUGGUUGGGUUUCAGACUGGUUCUUUUUCUAGGACAAAAACUGAUGAGAAAGUAACUUAU